rnacentral:rRNA from 1 species
GAGUUUGAUCUUGGCUCAGGACGAACGCUGGCGGCGUGCCUAAUACAUGCAAGUCGAACGAGGUCCAUCCAGUGGCAACACUGGUGAAGACCUAGUGGCGAACGGGUGAGUAACACGUGAGAAACCUGCCCCGAUCUCAGGAAUAACAGGUGGAAACACCUGCUAAUACCGGAUACCUUCCCUGCACCUCCUGGUGUGGCGAAGAAAGAUUCAUCGGAUUGGGAGGGUCUCGCGGCCUAUCAGCUUGUUGGUGGGGUAACGGCCUACCAAGGCUUCGACGGGUAGCUGGUCUGAGAGGACGAUCAGCCACACUGGGACUGAGACACGGCCCAGACUCCUACGGGAGGCAGCAGUAGGGAAUCUUGCGCAAUGGGCGAAAGCCUGACGCAGCAACGCCGCGUGGGGGAUGAAGGCCCUCGGGUUGUAACCCCUUUCAGCAGGAACGAAUUUGACGGUACCUGCAGAAGAAGGCCCGGCUAACUACGUGCCAGCCGCCGCGGU